rnacentral:sRNA from 1 species
GCUGGGCAUGGUGGCGCAUGCCUGUAGUCCCAGCUACUUGGGAGGCUGAGGCAGGAGGAUCGCUUGUGCCUAGAAAUUUGAGGUUGCUGUGAGCUAGGCUGAUGCCAUGGCACUCUAGCCUGGGCAACAGAGUAAAACUCUGUCUCAAAAAGAAAAAGAGACAGGGUCUCACUCUGUUGCCUAGGCUGGAGUACAGUGGUGCAAUCAUAGCUCACUGUAAACUUGAACUCCUGGGCUCAAACGAUCAUCAUGCUUCA